GAAGGAAAAGUGUCCUGUGUCAUCUGGGGAGGACCUCCUAAAGAAAGAGGACAGGAGUUUCCGUCAUGGUGCAGUGGAAACAAAUCCGACGAGGAACCAUGAGGUUGCAGGUUCUAUCUAUGGCCUCACUCAGUGGGUUAAAGAUCCAGCGUUGCUAUGAGCUGUGGUGUAGAUCACACACACGGCUCGCUCGGAUCUGGCAUUGCUGUGGCUGUGGGGUAGGCGGGCAGCUGUAGCUCUGAUUGGACCCCUAGCCUGGGAACUUCCAUAUGCUGCAGGUGCAGCCCUAGAAAGAAAAAAAGAAGGAAAGAAAGAAAGAGGACAAGUCUGUUCCUGGGUCUCUGGUGAUGAGGUGGAGCUGCCAUAAAAGCCCUGGAUGCCUGCUUCUGCCUUCUCUUAUGUUUAAAUAUAACCAUAAGUUAAAGUUUGUGAACUUAAGCCACCAUUAGGGGUUUAUUUCCUACUUCCUGAAAAAUCAAACUGAACACGUCCAGCCCUUGCCCCAAACAUUUUCCUCCCCAUGUUUUCUCAAUCUCAGUACAUGUCAUGACCAUCCACUCAGGUGCUCAGGCCCCCAAACCUAGAAAUCAUCUGCCUUCUCACCCUUCCCUUCACCGCUGAUAUCCAUUCUGUCAGCAAGAUCCAGGCACUCUACUUCCCAAACGUAUCCCAAACCUACUCGCCUGUCUGCCUCACCUCCCAUCACCCAGUCCAAGGACAGCAUCUCUUACCUGGACCUUUAAGAGCUACUGAGGUUCCCUACUUCCAUAGCGACCUCCCCCCAGGCCAUUCUCCGCACUGCAACUGGAUGGACUUUUCAAGAAAGGAUAUCAGAUCGAGUCACCUCUCUGCUUACAACACUUGAAAGGCUGCCCAUGACACUUAGAAGAAAAUACAGGGAGUUCCCCUUGUGGCACAGCAGAAACAAAUCCAGCUAGUAUCCAUGAGGACAUGGGUUCAAUCCCCGGCCUCGCUCAGUGGGUUAAGGAUCUAGCAUUGCUGUGAGCUGUGGUGUAGAUCACAGAGGCAGCUCAGAUCCUGCGUUGCUAUGGCUGUGGCUGUGGUGUAGGCUGGCAGCUGUAGCUGCAAUUCAACCCCUAGCUGGGGAGCUUCCAUAUGCCGUGAGUGUGGCCCAAAAGCCAAAAGCCAAAGGAAAAAAAAAAAAGAAGAAGAAGAAGAAGAAAAUGGAGACUUCUUAGUCUUCAAGGUGCUUUGUGGCUUGGCCCCCCCUCUGACCACAAUUCUGACCACACUCCUGCUACUCACUUCACUUAGCCUCACUGGCCUUGCUGCCUCUCAAACAUGCUGAGCUGGUUCCCACCUCAGGGCCUUUGCACUUGCUCUUAACCUCUGCCAGGAAAGUACUUCCCCUUUGAUCAUCCCAGGACUGCCUCCUGUUCUCAUUCAGGUCUCUGCUCCUCAGAGAGGCCUUCUUUCCCCCACCCCUGUGCCUUCAUCGCCAGAACUCCUUCUAUUUCAUCACCACCGUUUUAUUUCCUUGAUGGAAAUUUUUCACUUUUAUUUAUUUCACUUGAUGGAAAUUAUGAAUUUGUGUACUAGUUUAUCAUCUGUUUGUCUCCCAUCACUCCAGUAUCCGCCCCAUGAAGGCAGGGAUGUAGCCCCUCAGGUUUACUGCUGCACCUAGUGCUGAAGCGUGCCUGGCACCUGAUAAAUGGCCGGGGAGGCUGAUGCCUGGAUUGUAUGUGUCAGGCACUAUCUCAUUUCAGCCUCACAACAACUUUGUGGCAUCACAUAAUUCUCAUUUUAAACGCCUCGGUGGAUCCCAGCUGGAC
ensembl:lncRNA